CUUGUGAGGUCUAUAAAUAGCUUUGUACAUAACACGACAGUGUAAAUUUCAGUUCACACCGAAAACCUAGCAGUACUGGAGUGAGUUGAAGCUUGUUAACAAGUUCUUACAUCCAGAGACAGACACAAAUAUGGGGUCACAGAAAUCACUUGAUUGGAUAGUCGACUUAGACAAUGCGCAUGAUCCAAAAUAUGGGGAGCCAUUUCGAGUACCAAUCGUAGCAGCCACCAAUGAAAACUUCAAAGAAUACGGCAAUUUAGUUACAGACUUUGACGUCGAAGAGGUUGAAAUCGUCCCAUGGCCUGUAAUGGGCAGACGGCCAUUAUGCAAUGGAACAGGCAUAUUUGGCGGGGUCGCUGAAGGAGACUUCCUUCAUGAAUGGGUUGGUGACAAAUGUAAAGCUAAAAGUACGGCGAUCGGUUGGGGGUCGACAGUGAUUUUUUCAUAUGUCGAUUAGGAAAAGGCGUCGAUCCGGACCGCAAGACAAGGGUUUUGGUUCGGGAAGCAAAUAAUCACCCCGACGGAAGUCAGUGUUUCUUUCCAAAGGAAAAACUUCCAUUUGUGGCGCUGUUUGCUCUUCCUGGCGAUGACGUCAAGUUAGAAGAUUUCAUGGCGUUCUACUCGGAUGGGGGUUUCGGAUUUCAUAUUCGACCGAGCGUUUGGCAUCAGCCCAUGAUUCCUGUGAGUCAGAAAGCGGUGUUUAGGAACAAACAAGGCGCUGUCCACGCAUGCGUUGGUCUCGAUACCGUCAAUGAGUUUGGGAGAUUUCUCUCUGUUCCUCUCAAAAUUGACAAUGAGGAGUGAUCCAGAUUGACAUCGCAACAAUAAAAUCAUUGAGCUACGAUUUAUGUAUUGUAGAUUAAUAUAUUGUAGAUUUAUAUAUUGUAGAUUAAUAUAUUGUAGAUUUAUAUAUUGUAGAUUAAUAUAUUGUAGAUUUAUGUAUUGUAGAUUUAUGUAUGGUAGAUUUAUGUAUGGUAGAUUUAUAUAUUGUAGAUUGAUAUAUUGUAGAUUUACAUAUUGUAGAUUUAUAUAUUGUAGAUUUAUGUAUUGUAGAUUUAUAUAUUGUAGAUUUAUGUAUUGUAGAUUUAUAUAUUGUAGAUUUAUAUAUUGUAGAUUUAUGUAUUGUAGAUUUAUAUAUUGUAGAUUUAUAUAUUGUAGAUUUAUGUAUUGUAGAUUUGUAGAUUUAUGUAUUGUAGAUUUAUGUAUUGUAGAUUUAUGUAUUGUAGAUUUAUAAUUGUUUUAAACAUGUCCUAUUGUCAAAACAGACAAAUGGAUGAGAGACAAAUUCUAACGACUCACAAGCUCUUCUCCUCGAGAUUCGAUAGACUCGUUGGUACACUCACGCGCAUUCACACGUGUAUAUGAAUAUUUCUCAUACUGCUUAACAAUCCAAUCCAGUGUUAAUAGCUUUGUUAUGUUUGAAAUCAUUAUCUCUUGAGAGAAAAAAAAUGCAUAGAUAUAACAUGUUGUCCAAUUUCCAUAAAAUCGCUUUAUUCAACAAAAUAUACUGAAAUGAAUUGUGUAAAGAUAAAAUGGUUCAUUUUCAUUUACGUAUUACUACCUAGAGCACCAUAAUCAUUCCUCUAACCAAUAAACAUUUAGAGAAUUGAGGUUAUUUUCAUCCUUAUUUUUUAAAUGUUUUCCAAAAAUAAAAAUAAAAUGUAAAUUUCGAGUAAAUUUGCACGGAAGGCAUAACAAUUGUUUUUAACAAAGCUAAAGAUCAAUCAUGUCAAAUUUUCAUGACAACCGGGUCAUUAUUUUCUGGACGUGUCGCAACCCCUUAAAUAUCUUCUCUUCUACAUAACCAAAUAGGAUAAACAACAUAAAUACAACAACUGUAUUUCACAGCGACAAAGACACUGACUGAAUAUUUUCUGGACGUGUCGCAACCCCUUAAGUAUCUUAUAUUGUUAUAGCGUUGUGCCAACAGUAGUCUAGGGGAGACAAACCAUAUACAUGUGUAUAUAGAUAUGGUAAAGAGUUGCUCUGCAUUACCUAUUAAACGUCUCUGCCCUGUUUCAGGACAGCCGGGGUAAUCCUAUAUUAUCUAUUAAAAAAAUCAAACAAUGAACAUUUA